rnacentral:rRNA from 1 species
AUUUGAACCUCAAUUAGGKAGGACUACCCCUUUGACUUAAGCAUUUCAUUA